rnacentral:rRNA from 1 species
ACGGGUGCGUAACGCGUGGGAAUCUGCCCUUAGGUUCGGAAUAACAGCUGGAAACGGCUGCUAAUACCGGAUGAUGACGAAAGUCCAAAGAUUUAUUGCCUGAGGAUGAGCCCGCGUUGGAUUAGGUAGUUGGUGGGGUAAAGGCCUACCAAGCCGACGAUCCAUAGCUGGUCUGAGAGGAUGAUCAGCCACGCUGGGACUGAGACACGGCCCAGACUCCUACGGGAGGCAGCAGUGGGGAAUAUUGGACAAUGGGCGAAAGCCUGAUCCAGCAAUGCCGCGUGAGUGAUGAAGGCCCUAGGGUUGUAAAGCUCUUUUACCCGGGAAGAUAAUGACUGUACCGGGAGAAUAAGCCCCGGCUAACUCCGUGCCAGCAGCCGCGGUAAUACGGAGGGGGCUAGCGUUGUUCGGAAUUACUGGGCGUAAAGCGCACGUAGGCGGCUUUGUAAGUCAGAGGUGAAAGCCCGGAGCUCAACUCCAGAACUGCCUUUGAGACUGCAUCGCUUGAAUCCAGGAGAGGUCAGUGGAAUUCCGAGUGUAGAGGUGAAAUUCGUAGA